rnacentral:ncRNA from 1 species
ACAAAUUCGUUGAUGAGAAAAAGUAGUUGUUGAAACUGUUCCAAAGAGAGCCGGCAAAUGCUGAAAGUCGGUGUUCAGUUCAUAGAUGAAAAUCCUCUCUGAGAAGUCGAGCUGAAAAUGAGUAAGUGAGACCGGGUGUCUACCGUUAAAAGGAACACGUAUGAUUGUACGUGGCUAAGUGCUAUUGUGUAACGAGAGUUCCAAUAGAAUUAGGGUGGUAUCACGGUUAAACCCGUCCCUUUA